rfam:Anopheles dirus strain WRAIR2 unplaced genomic scaffold supercont1.53, whole genome shotgun sequence.
GGCCGCUAAAGUCCGACCCCCACCUCCUCGUGGUACCGGCCGGGUGCAGCGUAGUCUCACAAGUCUGGCUAACUUGUGAGUGCAGCUAACGGGGGCGG